AAAAUUCCUCUGUACUUGUUAGACUUGCUAGACACCCACAUAGAGGAGUCAUUCGUCCUUGAAUGGUCACGUCACUCUCGUAGCCGCACACGCCCUCACACCCUCUCACGUUGAGCUGUCUUCCAUUCAGAGAUUGUCCCCCUAAGAGACACAAACCAUGAAUCUGCAGCUAAUUUCCCGAGUUUUGUCAAUGUGUGGGAAUGGAUUCCUAAGGGGGCCUCUCCCAGAGCUUCUGGAGCAGGAGCUGGUGUUGCUGGGGGAUAAUUGGGAUUAAUGCUGCCCGGUUUUGUUCAGCAGCGAGGACAUGCCUGUGCACAGCUACCGAAAGCACAACUGUGCUUAGUUAUUUCCUGGGUUAAAGAUGCCUCUGAAAAUAUACCUUUUUUUCUUUAAUAUCUAUUUUCUGCCGGGACAAGAAAAAUAUAAGAGUUUUUAAAUUUUUGUUCUAUCUGUCCUGGCCUGGAGGAGGGUCCAACUAGCAGUAAGGAGAUUGAAAAUGGAGGUGAAAAUUUGGAAUAUUACACGAUACAAAUUUUAAUUCUAAACAUUUCAAGGAGGAGGAGGGGCAUGGUUUGGGAGGCUUCUUUGUUAAACUUUACAAAGUAUUUAGAAAAUAUUUGGGUAUUUUCAAUGAAAAAAUCUUUGCUUUAAAAAAUAUGGGAAAGAUCUGGAAAAGUGGAUGUUUAUACUUUCUGCCACUUGUAUUGCAUACCUUUGUACUGAUGAUUCAGUCCUUCUCUAAACCAUUUCUUUAUCAAAGCAGUGUUUCCAAAGUGUUAACAAGAAACUUUGUGAUCCCUAAAGCCCACAUGUCACAAACAAUGCCAAAGUUCACCACACUAUGAAGAUAAAUAUAUUCCACGUGUAGAUAAGAGCUGAACUAUUGUUCCUGUAAUAAUUUAGGAUAUUACCUGAAAAAGAUCAUUUUAAUUUGUCCCAUUUCUGAAAUUAGGAUUCCCUAGAUGAAAGAAUAAAAAAGCCAUGAAAUGUAUAAUUGGGGGGGGUGGGGGGCUUUAUGUUCUAUAUUAAGCAAAAGAUGUUCAGUGUUGGCAAUAACAGCAUUUUGUUCACAUCUGAAAUACAGAUGACAGGAUGUUUAAUUAGUAAAAGAAGACAAUACUUCCAAUUCCAUACUUCAAAUUCUUUGUAGGUUUUUUGCUUCAUUUUUUGGGAUAAUAUGGAAACAAUAUUUUUAUUAGUUUUUUUAAAGAGCUGUUCGAAAUUAAAUGGGAUGUUCUUUAGAGAAUACUUUUGUUUGUGGAGAAAAAAAAUAUCAAUUAUUAGAAAAUAUUAUUACUCAUUUAAGGAGUCAUCCUCACAGUGCCUAGCAAUGUUAUACAACACAAUCAAGUAUCAUCCUUCCUAAACCACAGAAAUUUCUAAAGGAAAAUUUCUGAAGGAAAUUGGAGGAAUUGGCAAAAGCAAGCAUUAUACAUUGGAUUUACAAAUAAAAAAUGGAUGCCCACAGGUACAUGAACUUCCUCUCCAAAAAAAAAAAAAAAAAAAAAACCCAAAAUUAUGAACCACCUAUCCUAAAUAACUUUUAAUGACCUUCUCUCUUUUUCUGGAGCAGUAGUGAUGAACUUCAGCCUUGCUUCUGGUGUGACUGAUCUUUUUAGAGGUGUAUCAAUGCUUAUACAUUGCUUAUACAAUGCUUAUACAUAAAAUACACUUAUUUUCUGCCUCAUAAGACAGCAUGGAUUUCUAAGACAUGGAGGACUUUUCAGGACUGAUGAAACACUUCCAUGAAGACACUCAGAAAGUCUCAUGUGUAAUGCACAGUAUACAGUGGUACCUGGAAAAUGGAAACACUUUGAAAACUUUUUUCUUGGAGAGUGGUGUUCUGAAAGUGAACAGAAUACAAAUCUGGAGUUCCUGUAGAAGAAAUGAAAGUGUGGACUUAUUUUGCUAUUAAAACCAGAAAAGAA